rnacentral:rRNA from 1 species
GACGGAGGAUGCAAGUGUUAUCCGGAAUCACUGGGCGUAAAGCGUCUGUAGGUGGUUCGAAAAGUCCACUGUUAAAAAUUGAGGCUUAACUUCAAAGAUGCCGUGGAAACUUUCAAACUAGAGUAUGGUAGGGGUAGAGGGGAAUUUCCAGUGGAGCGGUGAAAUGCGUAGAUAUUGGAAAGACCACCGAUGGCGAAGGCACUCUACUGGGCCAUUACUGACACUGAGAGACGAAAGCUAGGGGAGCAAAUGGG